AAAAAUCAAAACAGGUUAACGAUUUUAAACAAAAACAAAGAUUGCUUCUUUAAUUAGGUCGGUUCCUAUAGUUUUUAUUGAUCGUUACCACAAUAUUAUCAUCGUAUCUACUUAACGUUAACCAAUUAUUCGCAAGUAGCCCUUAAUCCUUAUGUCAGAGGUGAUCCUUAUUUUUAUUAAGUUGGGUGUUUUCCAAAAAGCAAACAAUUUUCAUUAAUUGUACGCGUUUACCGCACUAAAAAUAGACAUUUAUGCUACUUCU